CGGAUCGGAGUCUGCAACCCGACUCCGUGAAGCUGGAUUCGCUAGUAAUCGCGCAUCAGCCAUGGCGCGGUGAAUACGUUCCCGGGCCUUGUACACACCGCCCGUCAAGCCAUGGGAGCCGGGGGUGCUUGAAGUGCGUCGCCGCAAGGCGCGCCCUAAGGCAAUACCGGUGACUGGGGCUAAGUCGUAACAAGGUACC
rnacentral:rRNA from 1 species